UAAGCGGAGGAAAAGAAACCAACAGGGAUUGCCCUAGUAACGGCGAGUGAAGCGGCAACAGCUCAAAUUUGAAAUCUGGCGCAAGCCCGAGUUGUAAUUUGUAGAGGAUGCUUCUGGGCAGCGGCCGUUCUAAGUUCCUUGGAACAGGACGUCAUAGAGGGUGAGAAUCCCGUAUGUGACCGGCACGUACCCUCCACGUAGCUCCUUCGACGAGUCGAGUUGUUUGGGAAUGCAGCUCUAAAUGGGAGGUAAAUUCCUUCUAAAGCUAAAUACCGGCCAGAGACCGAUAGCGCACAAGUAGAGUGAUCGAAAGAUGAAAAGCACUUUGGAAAGAGAGUUAAAAAGCACGUGAAAUUGUUGAAAGGGAAGGGCUCACAACCAGACUUCGUGGCGGUGUUCCGCCGGUCUUCUGACCGGUCCACUCGCCGCCGCGAGGCCAGCAUCGUCUGGGGCCGCCGGAUAAGACCUUGGGAAUGUAGCUUGCCUCGGUAAGUGUUAUAGCCCAUGGUGAUGCGGCGCGCCCCGGGCGAGGUCCGCGCUUCGGCAAGGAUGCUGGCGUAAUGGUGGUCAGCCGCCCGUCUUGAAACACGGACCAAGGAGUCUAACAUCUAUGCGAGUGUUCGGGUGUCAAACCCCUACGCGGAAUGAAAGUGAACGGAGGUGGGAAGCGCAAGCUGCACCAUCGACCGAUCCUGAUGUCCUCGGAUGGAUUUGAGUAAGAGCAUAGCUGUUGGGACCCGAAAGAUGGUGAACUAUGCCUGAAUAGGGUGAAGCCAGAGGAAACUCUGGUGGAGGCUCGCAGCGGUUCUGACGUGCAAAUCGAUCGUCAAAUUUGGGUAUAGGGGCGAAAGACUAAUCGAACCAUCUAGUAGCUGGUUCUGC
rnacentral:rRNA from 1 species